rnacentral:rRNA from 1 species
UACGUAGGGUGCAAGCGUUAAUCGGAAUUACUGGGCGUAAAGCGUGCGCAGGCGGUGAUGUAAGACAGAUGGGAAAUCCCCGGGCUCAACCUGGGAACUGCAUUUGUGACUGCAUCGCUGGAGUGCGGCAGAGGGGGAUGGAAUUCCGCGUGUAGCAGUGAAAUGCGUAGAUAUGCGGAGGAACACCGAUGGCGAAGGCAAUCCCCUGGGCCUGCACUGACGCUCAUGCACGAAAGCGUGGGGAGCAAACAGG